GUACGUUACCUCUCGGAAACCUUUCACGCCGUAAAUGGGAAUAUAAUGACGUGCAGUUUCUUGGAAAUGUUAUUCCGCGUCCCGCUGAGGGAGACGGCUACUAUUGUGAUUGGCCUGUUCAGACUGCUCCUGUGCAUUUCCGGCCUCAAUAAAAAGACUCGUACAUGUCAGUGAAUUCCUGGCGGGAAAUUGCCAAACAAUGUACGAAGAAGUGGAAAAACUGGAAGGACAACUGGGCUUCUUUUUUUCUUCCCCAAAACGAGUGGGGAGAGAAAAGGGCAAAACUGACCACCGCAAGACAUUAAAAAUACAUGUCUUAAAAAUAAAACCUGCUGGACAGCGAGUCGCUUCCACCUCUGAAUUCGUGUAAACGAAACUCAUGUCUUUGCUCGUUCCCAGCAGGUACGUUCAAAAAGGCAUAAAGAGCUGUCCAGGGUACACCUCGCCCUGUGGUGGCUGGGAAAGGCUCCAGCCCCUCCAGGACUCUGAAUUGGACAUGCAGAUGAGAAUGAAUGGAUGUAUUCAACAGAAAUGUUAAGAAAGUAUUUUAGGUUUGUGAUCUUGAACUCUGGAAUCUUGAGCUGAUGAUGGCUCUGGACACAAUAUCGAAAGACCACAAAACUCAGUAGCUG
ensembl:lncRNA